UACGUAGGGCGCAAGCGUUAUCCGGAAUUAUUGGGCGUAAAGAGCUCGUAGGCGGUUUGUCGCGUCUGCCGUGAAAGUCCGGGGCUCAACUCCGGAUCUGCGGUGGGUACGGGCAGACUAGAGUGAUGUAGGGGAGACUGGAAUUCCUGGUGUAGCGGUGAAAUGCGCAGAUAUCAGGAGGAACACCGAUGGCGAAGGCAGGUCUCUGGGCAUUAACUGACGCUGAGGAGCGAAAGCAUGGGGAGCGUACAGG
rnacentral:rRNA from 1 species